rnacentral:rRNA from 1 species
GACGAACCGUACGAACGUUAUUCGGAAUUACUGGGCUUAAAGGGUGCGUAGGCUGCGCGGAAAGUUGGGUGUGAAUCCCUCGGCUCAACCGAGGAACUGCGCCCAAAACUACCGUGCUCGAGGGAGACAGAGGUGAGCGGAACUUAGGGUGGAGCGGUGAAAUGCGUUGAUAUCCUAAAGGAACACCCGUGGCGAAAGCGGCUCACUGGGGUCUCUUCUGACGCUGAGGCACGGAAAGCUAGGGUAGGCCGAACGGG